rnacentral:rRNA from 1 species
AUUGAACGCUGGCGGCAGGCCUAACACAUGCAAGUCGAGCGGAUGAAGGGAGCUUGCUCCUGGAUUCAGCGGCGGACGGGUGAGUAAUGCCUAGGAAUCUGCCUGGUAGUGGGGGAUAACGUCCGGAAACGGGCGCUAAUACCGCAUACGUUCUGAGGGAGAAAGUGGGGGAUCUUCGGACCUCACGCUAUCAGAUGAGCCUAGGUCGGAUUAGCUAGUUGGUGGGGUAAAGGCCUACCAAGGCGACGAUCCGUAACUGGUCUGAGAGGAUGAUCAGUCACACUGGAAUUGAGACACGGUCCAGACUCCUACGGGAGGCAGCAGUGGGGAAUAUUGGACAAUGGGCGAAAGCCUGAUCCAGCCAUGCCGCGUGUGUGAAGAAGGUCUUCGGAUUGUAAAGCACUUUAAGUUGGGAGGAAGGGCAGUAAGUUAAUACCUUGCUGUUUUGACGUUACCAACAGAAUAAGCACCGGCUAACUUCGUG